rnacentral:rRNA from 1 species
UACGUAGGUGGCAAGCGUUGUCCGGAUUUACUGGGCGUAAAGAGCGCGCAGGCGGUCGUUCAAGUCGCGUGUGAAAGCCCCCGGCUCAACUGGGGAGGGUCACGCGAUACUGAUCGACUCGAAGGCAGGAGAGGGUAGUGGAAUUCCCGGUGUAGUGGUGAAAUGCGUAGAUAUCGGGAGGAACACCCAGGGGGAAACCAGUCGACUGGGCAGCACCUGACGCUGAGGUGCGAGAGCGUGGGGAGCGAACCGG